rnacentral:lncRNA from 1 species
CACUUCAAAUAAAACUUGGCUCUCCUUUUUUGAUCCUGAUUUAGGGGCAUAACACUGGCUGCAUAUUUUACUCCUCUGCUGGGUAUGGUGAGGGUGCUGAGCAAGAAAGAAGACUGGCCAUAUUAAGGGGGACCAGGCUUCCUGAAUCAGUUUGUAGCAGAAGAGUACAAGAGGGAGGAUCUACGAAAAACAGGCGAUGUGUUGAUCAGAGCCCCUAACCAUGAGGUGGUAUGGCACUACAGCCUCCGUCCUCUUGAGAGGCUGGGACUUCAGAAGAAGUGCCAUACCUGCUCCAUUGCCUACGAUGUACCAGCGGAAGUAGAAACACGGUUUCACAAGAAUCCCCUUCUUGAGACACAGGGCAUGGUGCUCUGUGGAGACACUCUCAUGAUUUGAGGCAGGUCCUUAGGAAUUUUCCAGCAAUGAAAUGCAACUUUAUCACUUUGAAAGACAUCAGGCAGGUAAAUUAACCACUCACCCUAUUAACGCUGCCCUGUUAUUGUCACUUCAUCUGUUCAAGAACAUAAUUCAG